UUAGGUCACGGCGAGACUAGCCGUCAUAACUAUAGGUGCCGGGUGGAUGUGCAGUAAUGUAUGCAGCUGAGGCAUCCUAACAGACCGAGAGAUUUGAAC
rnacentral:rRNA from 1 species